AGAGUUUGAUCCUGGCUUAGGAUGAACGCUAGCGGCAGGCUUAACACAUGCAAGUCGAGGGGCAGCGGGAUGUAGCAAUACAUUGCCGGCGACCGGCGGAUGGGUGCGUAACGCGUAUGCAACCUACCUUAUACAGGGGAAUAACCUUUCGAAAGGGAGACUAACACCCCAUAGUAUUGAUUUUAAGGCAUCUUAGAUUAAUUAAAUAUUUUAUAGGUAUAAGAUGGGCAUGCGUAUGAUUAGCUAGUUGGUAAGGUAACGGCUUACCAAGGCGACGAUCAUUAGGGGUUCUGAGAGGAAGGUCCCCCACACUGGUACUGAGACACGGACCAGACUCCUACGGGAGGCAGCAGUGAGGAAUAUUGGUCAAUGGGCGCAAGCCUGAACCAGCCAUGCCGCGUGCAGGAAGACGGCCUUAUGGGUUGUAAACUGCUUUUACAUAAGACUAACCGUAUAUUUGCGAAUAUACCUGAAUGUAUUAUGAGAAUAAGGAUCGGCUAACUCCGUGCCAGCCGCCGC
rnacentral:rRNA from 1 species